rnacentral:rRNA from 1 species
UACGUAGGGGGCAAGCGUUAUCCGGAAUUACUGGGUGUAAAGGGAGCGUAGGUGGUAAGAUAAGUCAGAUGUGAAAGCCCGGGGCUUAACCCCGGGACUGCAUUUGAAACUGUCUCACUAGAGUGCAGGAGAGGUAAGUGGAAUUCCUAGUGUAGCGGUGAAAUGCGUAGAUAUUAGGAGGAACACCAGUGGCGAAGGCGGCUUACUGGACUGUAACUGACACUGAGGCUCGAAAGCGUGGGGAGCAAACAGG